rnacentral:rRNA from 1 species
AUUGAACGCUGGCGGCAUGCUUUACACAUGCAAGUCGAGCGGCAGCGCGGGGGCAACCCUGGCGGCGAGCGGCGAACGGGUGAGUAAUGCAUCGGAACGUGUCCCGUAGUGGGGGAUAACCCGCCGAAAGGCGGGCUAAUACCGCAUAUGCUCUACGGAGGAAAGGGGGGGAUCCGCAAGGACCUCUCGCUAUGGGAGCGGCCGAUGUCCGAUUAGCUAGUUGGUGGGGUAAUGGCUUACCAAGGCGACGAUCGGUAGCUGGUCUGAGAGGAUGAUCAGCCACACUGGGACUGAGACACGGCCCAGACUCCUACGGGAGGCAGCAGUGGGGAAUUUUGGACAAUGGGGGCAACCCUGAUCCAGCCAUGCCGCGUGCGGGAAGAAGGCCUUCGGGUUGUAAACCGUCUUUUAGCCGGGAAGAAAAGGCGGGGGCUAACACCCUCUGUUUUUGACGGUACCGGCGGAAUAAGCACCGGCUAACUACGUG